rnacentral:rRNA from 1 species
UUCUUAUACCAAUCACUAUAAGUAAAAUCUGCUCAAUGAUAUUUAAAUAGCCGCAGAAUUUUAACUGUGCUAAGGUAGCAUAAUCAUUUACCUUUUAAUUGAAGGUCUGUAUGAAAGAUUUUACAAUUAAAUUAUUCUUUUAUUAAAUUAAAUUAAAAUUUUAUUAAAAAUAAAAAUAUUUUUAUAAAUAAAAAAGACGACAAGACCCUAUUGAACUUUACUUCAGUUAAGCUGGGGAAGCUAAUUAAAUAUUAUUUUAAUAUCUUAACUUAAAUAAAUUUCUGGAAACCCAAUUUGAAUAAGUUACCAUAGGGAUAACAGCGUAAUAAUUUUUAAAAGUUCUUAUUUAAAAAAGAGUUUACGACCUCGAUGUUGAAUUAAAUUUACUUUAAAACGCAAUAGUAUUAAAAGUAGGUCUGUUCGACCUUUAAAUUUUUACAU